rnacentral:misc_RNA from 1 species
AUUGAUUCCAACGAGUGUUAUGUGUUGCCUAUAGGGCUAUUUUGAUGCCAAAGACGGCUAUGUGUUGCCUAUAGGGCUAUGUUGAUGCAAGGGAAGGCUAUGUGCAGCCCACAGAGCUAUGAUGUUGCCUAAGAGGGCUAUACACUGCAUGCGGGCUAUAUCGCUGCCAAAAAAGGUAUGUGACUUCUUACAAAGACAGGGGGCUACCGAUAGGGGUAAGCAGAUUGAUUGACACCUUUUGGACUUUUGGUGGCCUAGGUAGGUGGUAUGUUGUUUGUACCUA